rnacentral:rRNA from 1 species
CCUGGCGGCUAUAGCGUGUAGGAACCACCGGUCCCCAUCCCGAACACCGAAGUGAAACUGCACAGCGCCGAUGAUAGUGUGGCAGCAGCCAUGUGAAAGUAGGACAUCGCCAGGC